CCUACGGGGGGCUGCAGUGGGGAAUAUUGGACAAUGGGGGCAACCCUGAUCCAGCCAUGCCGCGUGUGUGAAGAAGGCCUUCGGGUUGUAAAGCACUUUAAGUGGGGAGGAAGGCUCGAUGGUUAAUAGUCAGCGGGAGUGACGUUACCCACAGAAUAAGCACCGGCAAACUCCGUGCCAGCAGCCGCGGUCAUACGGAGGGUGUGAGCGUUAAUCGGAAUUACGUGGCGUAAAGCUCACGUCGGCGGUGAAAUCCCUGGGCUCAACCUGGGAGCUGCAUUCGAUACUGGCAGACUUGAAUACGGUAGAGGGGGGUGGAAUACCAGGUGUAGCGGUGAAAUGCGUAGAGAUCUGGAGGAACACCAGUGGCGAAGGCGGCCCCCUGGACCGAUAUUGACGCUGAGGUGCGAAAGCGUGGGGAGCAAACAGGAUUAGAUACCCGGGUAGUC
rnacentral:rRNA from 1 species